UACGAAGGGGGCUAGCGUUGUUCGGAAUUACUGGGCGUAAAGCGCACGUAGGCGGGUCGUUAAGUCAGGGGUGAAAUCCCGGAGCUCAACUCCGGAACUGCCUUUGAUACUGGCGAUCUCGAGAUCGGAAGAGGUGAGUGGAAUUCCCAGUGUAGAGGUGAAAUUCGUAGAUAUUGGGAAGAACACCGGUGGCGAAGGCGGCUCACUGGUCCGAUACUGACGCUGAGGUGCGAAAGCUAGGGGAGCGAACGGG
rnacentral:rRNA from 1 species